UUACAAGUAGCCAGUUUGGCAAAUGGGCAAUUUGUCAUUUCAGAAGAUCAUCAUUAACGAAUCCCAACAAAAACAAGUUAUAUUAAAACAUAAGACAGUUGUUGGGCAAACAGCAUGAAUAUAAGUUUGUCAAAACCUUACUAAUCGUAACAAAACAUUAAUGCACACACCUCUUUACUACACAGAUAUUACAAAUUAAUUGAUCGUCCUCCUCUCCUAGUCUUUUUGUCCAGCGAUAUGUCUGAACUUAAUUAAUAACUCUGUUUUGUAAACUUGUCUUAAGUAAAUAAUAACAUCUACAACAUCACAUAAAU